AUGAACGCUGGCGGCGUGCCUAAUACAUGCAAGUCGCGCGAACAGAUAAGGAGCUUGCUCCUUUGACGUUAGCGGCGGACGGGUGAGUAACACGUGGAUAACCUACCUAUAAGACUGGGAUAACUUCGGGAAACCGGAGCUAAUACCGGAUAACAUAUUGAACCGCAUGGUUCCAUAGUGAAAGGCGGCUUUGCUGUCACUUAUAGAUGGAUCCGCGCCGUAUUAGCUAGUUGGUAAGGUAACGGCUUACCAAGGCAACGAUACGUAGCCGACCUGAGAGGGUGAUCGGCCACACUGGAACUGAGACACGGUCCAGACUCCUACGGGAGGCAGCAGUAGGGAAUCUUCCGCAAUGGGCGAAAGCCUGACGGAGCAACGCCGCGUGAGUGAUGAAGGUCUUCGGAUCGUAAAACUCUGUUAUCAGGGAAGAACAAAUGUGUAAGUAACUGUGCACAUCUUGACGGUACCUGAUCAGAAAGCCACGGCUAACUACGUG
rnacentral:rRNA from 1 species